GACGAACGCUGGCGGCGUGCUUAACACAUGCAAGUCGAACGGUAAGGCCCUUCGGGGUACACGAGUGGCGAACGGGUGAGUAACACGUGGGUGAUCUGCCCUGCACUUCGGGAUAAGCCUGGGAAACUGGGUCUAAUACCGGAUAGGACCACUGCCUGCAUGGGUGGUGGUGGAAAGCUUUUGCGGUGUGGGAUGGGCCCGCGGCCUAUCAGCUUGGUGGUGGGGUGAUGGCCUACCAAGGCGACGACGGGUAGCCGGCCUGAGAGGGUGACCGGCCACACUGGGACUGAGAUACGGCCCAGACUCCUACGGGAGGCAGCAGUGGGGAAUAUUGCACAAUGGGCGCAAGCCUGAUGCAGCGACGCCGCGUGAGGGAUGACGGCCUUCGGGUUGUAAACCUCUUUCAGCAUCGACGAAGCGCAAGUGACGGUAGGUGCAGAAGAAGGACCGGCCAACUACGUGCCAGCCGCCGCAGUAA
rnacentral:rRNA from 1 species